UGUGGGAAAUAUUUGCUGAGU
rnacentral:miRNA from 1 species